UAGCCAUGACUUGGACCAACUGAGGUCCAAGAUCGAUUCAUGCAAAAAUAUGUUGAUUGAAAACGUAAGAAUAUAAUCUGAACACUCAGGAAUACCUUUUCACCAAAAUUAAAGAGCUCGAAUUUUCAAACAAUGAAAAAGAUAACGAACUUGUCAAUCUGAAAAAUUCACACAAACAAGAUAAGCUCGAGCUGUUAAACAACUUUACUAAAAUCCGAGAAGAACAUCUCAAACAAGUCAGUGAAAUGUUCAAUCAGCACAAGACCGCAAUCUCAAAGUACGAAAAAGACAUGAAAACUUUGAAAAACUCCCUCGAACAAUCCAACAAGGAGAACAAAGUCCUCACUACACAAAUCAUGACCUGCAGGUAAUGUCAGUUUACGAAUUCAGAAAAGAGGUCGAAGCUUGUCAAGAUAGGAUUCUCACUAAGACGGUUCUUCUCCGUCCUCGCAGACUUAUCGACAUGUCAAACCAACAAAAAAAUUCAAAAGUCGAGUUCAACGAAUUUAAAUCCAACGUGUCUUGGCAAUUCCAACACUACCGACGGAUCCUCGCGGAGUUUUCGGAAAAGUUCAGUCAGACACGUGCCAAAGUCACUCAAAUGGAAAAACACGCAACUUUUCAAAACAACAAAAUCGUCGCACUCAGGAAAGAAAGUUGUAAAUUGGAAAGACUUAA